rnacentral:rRNA from 1 species
AGCAGCCGCGGUAAUUCCAGCUCCAAUAGCGUAUAUUAAAGUUGUUGCAGUUAAAAAGCUCGUAGUUGAAUUUCGGGAUCAAUAUGCUGGUCGUGCCUUUGGUACGUACUGGUAUUAUUGGUUUCUCCUUUCUGAUGAAUCACGAUGUCAUUAAUUUGGUGUCAUGGGGAAUCAGGACUGUUACUUUGAAAAAAUUAGAGUGUUUAAAGCAGGCUUACGCUUGAAUACAUUAGCGUGGAAUAAUGAAAUAGGACGUUUAAUUCUAUUUUGUUGGUUUCUAGGAUUGACGUAAUGAUUAAUAGGGAUAGUUGGGGGCAUUAGUAUUCAAUUGUCAGAGGUGAAAUUCUUGGAUUUAUUGAAGACUAACUACUGCGAAAGCAUUUGCCAAGGAUGUUUUCAUUAAUCUAAGAACGAAAGUUAGGGGAUCGAAGACGAUCAGAUACCGUCGUAGUCUUAACCAUAAACUAUGCCGACUAGGGAUCGGAUGAUGUUAAUUUAUGACCCAUUCGGCGCCUUACGG